UUGAUAAAGAUAAACAAAAUGGCUACUUUUGAUAGCGUACUUCAUUUCGAUUCAUGUACUGUAUAUACUGGUAUCUAAUUUAAUAUAAAAUAGGAUUUCAGUUCAAACUCUAUUAAUAUAAAUCUAGUUUCGGGCACUAUGGAUGGCAACGUAUCAACAGUGUUUCCAAACGUAACUGGACCACCAUGUGAUGCGGGUGAUACGCCAUUGUAUGUUGGCUUUAUGACUGCAGGCAUGGCAGUCGUGUUUUACGGUACAACCUAUAUACCAGUGAAAAAAUUUGAUACUGGUGAUGGCAUGUUUUUCCAGUGGGUAUUUGGAGUAUCUAUUGGAAUAUAUUCGCUGAUAAUUGCACAAGUCCGAGACAAUCCGACAUUUUAUCCCAUUACAAUGCUUGGAGGCGCUUUAUUUAUAACAGGAAAUCUCACUGUAAUUCCAAUAGUUAAAAUGAUAGGACUUGGACUCGGUUUCAGUAUCUGGGGUGUGACAAAUUUACUGAGCGGCUGGGCUACAGGAAGGUUUGGAUUAUUUGGGUUAAAAGCAGAUCCCCCAGACAAUUUGGUUCUGAAUGACAUCGGCGUGAUAUUGGCAGUUAUAAGUGCUGUGAUAUUCACUGCUGUGAAAAAUGAGGUCAGUAGUUCAAACAUUGAUACAACUGUUACUGUAGAUGUAUCAGAGAGCAGUCCUUUACUUCGGAACACAGAUCACCUAAUCGAGAAGAGGUUGCUAGAAGAACCGGAGUGUGACAUAGUUACUUUACCUAAAAUUAAUCAGAACGAGUCAACAACGGAGCAAGAGUUAUUAGUACAAACAGAUGACUCUAGUAUGUUUGAUCAUCUGAGUCCAACAAUAAAACGUAUAUUGGGAGUUGGCCUAUCAUUACUGGCAGGCUUAGUGUAUGGUCAGGUUUUCACCCCAUUUCUUUAUGUUCAAAACAACUAUGAGAAUUCCAGUCAAAAUGCCCUGGACUACGUAUUCUCUACACUAUGUGGAAGUGUGAUAGCAUGUAGUGUCUACUUCUUGCUGUAUGCUGCCUAUAUGAAGAAUCGCCCUAAAGUUUACCCUAGGGUCAUUCUACCCGCAUUUAUCUCCGGGCUUCUGUGGACAGGGGGUACAACGUGUUGGUUUGUUGCUAACAAAGUACUCUCAGAAUCCGUGGCGUUUCCAAUAGUGACCACUGGGCCAGCCGUUGUUGCAAACUUGUUGGCUGUUUUUGUGUUCAAAGAAAUUAAGGGAUUUAGAAACCUGUCAAUACUAGUAUUGGGUUUGUGUAUCACAAUUACCGGCGCAUUACUUGCAGGGUUCUCCAAACAGUCAUCCAGUGCUUGCUGACCUCAGUUUCAAAAACUGUUUAGUGUAUCUACGAAGCAUUUAGACAUUUUACGGGUUUUUUUAUUUUGUGGAUAAUCAAUAACAUAAAUUUUUCCUUUUUCAUGCCAACAGCCGUUUUUAUAAUGUCAAAGUUUGAAUGUAUAAGUGUUAUGGACAAGUUCUAUAAUCAAGUAAACCAACGAGAUUUUAUAAAGAGAUAAUACGGUGUUUUGCUGAUGUUUUUAUUCAGUUCAUAUAUUUUCUACACGUUUCACAUUUUCUUUAGUUUUACAUUGAACACAUUUCCCAGCUUUAGGGAAUGUGAUUAUGUUUCACACUAAUUGAACAGGUUAUACUUUAUCGGCUUUAACUUACCAUUAAUUUACCAGUUCAAUUAAAUAAAUCACUCGGUAUGGUCUCAGCACAUUGUGAUUUCUUAAGUGGUAACAUGUAGUUCUGCGAUAUUAGAUGAACUUUGUACAGACGACAUUUGCCAUGUUUUAACAUAUGCUCUAUUAGACUAAUACGUUACUCUGUAGAAUUUAGAGAAAUAAAACAUUUUAAAUAAAAUGCACACUGGGACAUAUUGACUUUCCCAUCCAUUGAGAAAGAUUAAUGAGACUUUGUAAUUGAUGGUAGCUUUCAGAGUACAAAAUUGUUCAUUGUAUAUUACUUACGGUCACAGAUACUCAGAUUCAGCUCAUUCAUAAUGAUUUUAACACCACGUGAUAGUUGUAGUUUUAACCCCGGGAAUGAUGUAUGGAAAACAGGAAAACCUCGUUUUAAGAAUUUAAUGAUCUAUAAUCUCGUACAAUACACAUCUAGAAGACAUUCCAGUAUAAACUAUUGAAUAUUUAAUGAGAAAAAACACUUAAAGAAUAAUGUGAUAUGUAAUUAUAUAAUGUUUUGUUGCAUGUUUAUUAUUCACUUAUUUGUUCUAAAACGUAUAUGUACUAUAAUCUUCCUGAUAACAUUAUGUGAAACUGUAAAAAAAUAAUAUGAAGCUUUAUUUUCAUUGGCUAUAAAUUGGGGUAUUAAGUCAUUAUCUAAUUAUAGGUACACAACUUUUUAUACCAGGAAGUUAAAAUGUAAGACAAAAUUAAAAAAAUGUACUAUAUACAUAAAAAUCUAUACAAGAAGACGGUGAAACGUGUGUACUUGUAUGAACUUUUGGGUUAAUAUUAAAACUUGUAUGUUUAUUUAAAUAGUUAAUUCCCUAUUAUCUUACUAGAUAAAUCUAAAUCAAUAAUUUAUGUCCAGCUCUGAUAACCUAUGAUAUUUGGGAUAAUAUUUAUUUGCAAUAUAGAAGGAUUUAAAGUCGCAUUUAAAGAGUGGUGGUGCUGUUGGUAGUUUUCACUCCGGAUUACGGCAGUAAGUCAACAUAACUUUA